AAAUUACUUAAUUAAAGAAUUAGAGUAUUUUCCUUUGAAACGUACUUAUGGAAUAAGAAUGUUCUUCUAAUUUUGGGUAUUAUGGAUAUUUAAAUAUUAUUUGAGACUAGUUACAAAAAUGUAGAUUUUUAAAAUGCAUUAAGUCAAAAUAUCUGGAUAUAAUACAAAUGUUUUUAUUUUGCAGUUUUCUUUGUUUUUGUUUUUGUUUUUUAAAUCACUGAUGUUGCAGAGUUUUCCGGUCCCCAGUCAGAAGUCAUAUAUUAACAUUUCAUGAAGAAUGAGAAAUUUGGAUUGUAUUUAUUAUAUACCACAUAGUAAAAUAAAUAUACACUAGAUAAGAAAAAUUAUCUGUGGUUUGGCCCAUACAGAUGCAUUCCCUGGCCAGUUGACAGCUACUCUCUUGGGAACUGUGAACAUUUAAAAAAAAAAAAAAAAAAACCCAGAGCGCACCCCCCACCACCACCACUAUUUUGGCACUAUCUACUCUAGAAUAAGCUUGGCUAUAGUGUAGCUAUAGCAGCUGCCAGUGUUGGUAGCUUUCUUGGAGAUAAGAGGAGAAACUAGAUGAAAUUUCUUUGGAUAGACAAAAAUCUGAGUUUGGCAAACAUUUUCUCAGAGACUAUGGUUUACAAGGCUCAGACCUGUGCCAGUUUCACAGGGAACUUAUCUGUGUGAGUUCCAUGGAUCCUCAUAGAUAAAAUAAUAUCAGUAAUCAAGUAGACAUGCACUGUGUUAGAAAAACAAGGAAGAAAAAAGUUCUCUCCAAAGAAUGCCUUUAUUCAGUUAGUACAAAAACAACCUUGGAGUGACUCAAGCCUGAACUUCAGCAGAAUUGACCCUUACUAUUGAAAUUGGGAGAUAUUUUGAGGUAUGGAAAACCUUGGAAAUCCACCACUGGCUAAUCUGUGGGGAUCUGCUAUCAUGUGUUCCAAUUGUUGGUUCCCUUACUGAUUGUGAUAAGUUGCAACAGAAAAGUUUUCUAAAUUAGCUAAUAACAAUUUAUACCUAUUAAUAGAAAUAAAUAUUCCAGUUCAUUCAAUGUUAUUGUUGUUUUUCAAAUCAAUACACAGCUAAGAUUUUCAUGGUGGAGGAUUGAUAAUUCUGCCAAAAUCUAAAAGUUCUUUCUUUGGUGUUGUUAAAUCAAUAUGGAGUCUUGCCAAGGGUUUAUUGUAUAUGCCUAAGAAACACUAUGUGUAUUUGAUGAAUCAUGAAGAGCAAUCUAUAACGUGCUCUAUUUCAUUAUUACAUUUGACUUUUAGAGUCAUUUUGAGGUUAUUACUUUUUUAGUUUUGUAACAAGAAAUUGAGGUCAACUACUUGAAAAUGUGAUUCCUGUUGUCUUACCAUACUAAAAUAGUGACCACUUUAUAAAAUAAUACAGUUUUCUCACUUUUAAUACAUGUUUACAUUAGCUGACUCCAUUUCCUGCUCUAUUAAUGGAUCAUUGUUGGCAUUACCUCCUUAAGUACAACCAAUUUAAGAUAUGGAUCAAAGAAGGUAGAAUCUUACUGCCACAAAAAUUUAAUUAGCAUUAAAGAGUAAGUACUUUGAUUAUACUUUAGAUCCAUGUUCAAAAUAAUGCCUUCAUACUUAGACAUCACAUAGUACUAUAAUAUACACUGAAAUUAAUGCAAUACAAACUUACUAACAGAUUCAAGUUUAAGAAUGAGUACAUGUUUCUUUGAAAGCAGGCUUAAGGUUAUGCUUAUAAUAUAACCCUUACUUAUUUUUAUUACUAAAUACCUUCUAAAAGUGGUAGAGAGAAACAUUGAGUUAAACAUAAAAGAAAAUGACUUGUGUUUGAUCUUGAAUGUGCCAAUGGGAACAUUUUGUCCUAACAUUCUCUCAGGGAGUUCUAAAUGUUAGCAUUUAUCAUAUUUAAUUCAACUUUAAUUUUUGUACAUGUAUCAUUAGAGUGUAAGCUUCAUAAAGACAAGCAUUAUAUUUAUCUAGUUCUUAUAGUAUCCAUAGUAUUUAUCAUAGUGUCUGUCUCAGAAUAAUCUCUCAUUGGAUGGAAAAUUGAACGAGCAAAUUACUUUUUGGUAUGACAGAAAUUUUAGCAUUUUUGCUGUGAUGUUUAAAC
rnacentral:lncRNA from 1 species